rnacentral:rRNA from 1 species
UACGUAGGGGGCAAGCGUUGUCCGGAAUCAUUGGGCGUAAAGAGCGUGUAGGCGGCCGGACAAGUCCGCUGUGAAAACUCGAGGCUCAACUUCGAGCUGUCGGUGGAAACUUUCUGGCUAGAGUCCGGAAGAGGAGAAUGGAAUUCCUGGUGUAGCGGUGAAAUGCGCAGAUAUCAGGAAGAACACCCGUGGCGAAGGCGGUUCUCUGGGACGGUACUGACGCUGAGACGCGAAAGCGUGGGGAGCGAACCGG